GACGAACGCUGGCGGCGUGCUUAACACAUGCAAGUCGAAUGGAAAGGCCCUGCUUUUGUGGGGUGCUCGAGUGGCGAACGGGUGAGUAACACGUGAGUAACCUGCCCUUGACUUUGGGAUAACUUCAGGAAACUGGGGUUAAUACCGGAUAGGAGCUCCUGCUGCAUGGUGGGGGUUGGAAAGUUUCGGCGGGUGGGGAUGGACUCGCGGCUUAUCAGCUUGUUGGUGGGGUAGUGGCUUACCAAGGCUUUGACGGGUAGCCGGCCUGAGAGGGUGACCGGCCACAUUGGGCCUGAGAUACGGCCCAGACUCCUACGGGGGGCAGCGGUGGGGAAUAUUACACAGUGGGCCGCAGCCUGUUGCAGCGACGCCGCGUGCGUGAUGACCGCCUUCGGGUUGUGAACCGCUUUCGCCUGUGACGAAGCGUGAGUGACGGUAAUGAGUAAAGAAGCACCGGCUAACUACGUG
rnacentral:rRNA from 1 species